UGGUUCCGCCCGGGAUCGAACCGGGGACCUUUUGCGUGUAAAGCAAACGUGAUAACCACUACACUACGGAACC
rnacentral:tRNA from 13 species